rnacentral:rRNA from 1 species
GUAGGUGGCAAGCGUUGUCCGGAAUUAUUGGGCGUAAAGCGCGCGCAGGCGGUCCUUUAAGUCUGAUGUGAAAGCCCACGGCUCAACCGUGGAGGGUCAUUGGAAACUGAGGGACUUGGGUACAGAAGAGGAAAGCGGAAUUCCACGUGUAGCGGUGAAAUGCGUAGAGAUGUGGAGGAACACCAGUGGCGAAGGCGGCUUUCUGGUCUGUAACUGACGCUGAGGCGCGAAAGCGUGGGGAGCAAACAGGGAUUAGAUACCCUGGUAGUCCACGCCGUAAACGAUGAGUGCUAAGUGUUAGGGGGGUUUCCGCCCCCUUAGUGCUGCAGCUAACGCAUUAAGCACUCCGCCUGGGGAGUACGACCGCAAGGUUG